CAACUUUCAACAACGGAUCUCUUGGCUCUCGCAUCGAUGAAGAACGCAGCGAAAUGCGAUAAGUAAUGUGAAUUGCAGAAUUCAGUGAAUCAUCGAAUCUUUGAACGCACCUUGCGCUCCUUGGUAUUCCGAGGAGCAUGCCUGUUUGAGUGUCAUU
rnacentral:rRNA from 5 species